rnacentral:rRNA from 1 species
CCGCGGGAUUAGGGUUUGAUUAUGGCUCAGGAUGAACGCUAGCGGCAGGCUAACACAUGCAAGUCGAGGGGUGUAUAGUGCUUGCACUAUAGAGACCGGCGCACGGGUGCGUAACGCGUAUGCAAUCUACCUUAUACAGGGGAAUAGCCCAGGGAAACUUGGAUUAAUGCCCCAUAGUAUCAUUAAGUAGCCUUACUAUAUGAUUAAAGAUUUAUCGGUAUAAGAUGAGCAUGCGUCCCAUUAGUUAGUUGGUAAGGUAACGGCCUACCAAGACAGCGAUGGGUAGGGGCCCUGAGAGGGGGAUCCCCCACACUGGUACUGAGACACGGACCAGACUCCUACGGGAGGCAGCAGUGAGGAAUAUUGGACAAUGGGCGAAAGCCUGAUCCAGCCAUGCCGCGUGGAAGACGGCCCUAUGGGUUGUAAACUGCUUUUGUACGGGAAGAAACACCUCCACGUGUGGAGGCUUGACGGUACCGUAAGAAUAAGCAUCGGCUAACUCCGUGC